rnacentral:tRNA from 1 species
GGCCUGAUGGUCUAGUCGUAUGAUUCCUGCUUUGGGUUCGCAUCUAAACUGCAGGAGGCCCCGGGUUCAAAUCCCGGUCAGGCCC